rnacentral:rRNA from 1 species
UACGGAGGGUGCGAGCGUUAAUCGGAAUGACUGGGCGUAAAGCGCAUGCAGGCGGUCAAUUAAGUUAGAUGUGAAAUCCCUGAGCUUAACUUUGGAAUUGCAUUUUAAACUGUUUGUCUAGAGUCUUGUAGAGGAGGGUAGAAUUCCAUGUGUAGCGGUGAAAUGCGUAGAGAUGUGGAGGAAUACCGGUGGCGAAGGCGGCCCUCUGGACAAAGACUGACGCUCAGGUGCGAAAGCGUGGGGAGCAAACAUG